ACCCGGAUGGCUCAGUCGGUUGAGCGUCCGACUUCGGCUCAGGUCAUGGCCUCGCAGUUCGUGGGUUCGAGCCCCGCCUCGGGCU
rnacentral:tRNA from 1 species